CAGGGCUUCAAGCUCAGAAUAACAAUCAACGCAAUAACCAGCAGCAAAAUGAUCAAGAAGCAAGUCCACUUGCGGGUGUUUUUCUGGUAAAACCUGGCCUUGUUCAGCUGCUGGGUCCCGCCCCUCACGAACGAGUUGGCCCUCGCCACGUGGCUCUCGAUGUCGUCCAGCUGCUCCCCCUGCGCCUGCACCAGCACCGCCAUGUCCAGGAACACCUGGUGCAGCUCCUGCAGAUUCUUCUCCAUGUCCUUUACGGCGUCGUGCCGCUCCUGGAUCUCAUGGAUCGUGUCCAGAACCUGGCCCCUCCCCUGCUCCUGUAUAGCCUUCUGCAGAAACGUUUCGCUCUCUCCUGCAAAAUUAAUUAAAAUCCAAUCAUAAAUCAAGCAACAAAAUUUUAAGAAGGGGCAGACGUGGAUUAGGCCGGUUGGCAACCGCCGUGAAUCCGCCCACUUGCAUCAAGUUCGAGUCUUAAAUUCUUUAGAGGAAAGAAAUUGUGGAAAGAGCAAAAAAAAAAAACAGUGACGGAUUGCCCUUACCGGUGGAGAUGAGGCGGUCGAGGGUUUUCUCAUCGGGAUUUUCGCCAGAGACGGUGAAGUACCUGCGCUGCACCGUCUCUCUGUACUCGGACGAGAUCUUCUGCCUGAGGGAGUUGAAGCUGUCCAUGGAGUCCUUGAGCUUCUUGCGGAGGCCGUUGACGACGGAGAUCCGGGUCCGAUCGGAGGACGAACCGGGUCCGCAGCCGGGGAGGCUCCGGUUGGCGGCGUUGGAGCGGUCGAGAGCCUCGAGGCGGACCUUGAGGACCUUGGCCUUCUUGAGGGCGAGGGUGACGUCGGCGUCCAUGCGAGAUCGGAGGUCCUUGACAGCCUUGGCGUUGUGGAGCGUCUUGCUGUGCUCGUGAGAGGACUGGAGGUUCUGGUGGAGGCGCUCCAGCUCCUUGAGCUCGUCCUUCACGGACUCCGCGUCGCCGAAGAACUUGUCGAGGUUGACGCCACCGGUGCUCG
rnacentral:lncRNA from 1 species